AAGCUCGUAGUUGAACCUUGGGCCUGGCUGGCCGGUCCGCCUCACCGCGUGUACUGGUCCGGCCGGGCCUUUCCCUCUGUGGAACCUCAUGCCCUUCACUGGGUGUGGCGGGGAAACAGGACUUUUACUUUGAAAAAAUUAGAGUGCUCCAGGCAGGCCUAUGCUCGAAUACAUUAGCAUGGAAUAAUAAAAUAGGACGUGUGGUUCUAUUUUGUUGGUUUCUAGGACCGCCGUAAUGAUUAAUAGGGACAGUCGGGGGCAUCAGUAUUCAAUUGUCAGAGGUGAAAUUCUUGGAUUUAUUGAAGACUAACUACUGCGAAAGCAUUUGCCAAGGAUGUUUUCAUUAAUCAGGAACGAAAGUUAGGGGAUCGAAGACGAUCAGAUACCGUCGUAGUCUUAACCAUAAACUAUGCCGACUAGGGAUCGGACGAAGUUAAUUUUAUAAUGACUC
rnacentral:rRNA from 1 species